GACGAACGCUGGCGGCGUGCUUAACACAUGCAAGUCGAACGGAAAGGCCCUGCUUUGGUGGGGUUCUCGAGGGGCAAACGGGUGUAAAACACGUGUGAAACCUGCCCUUGACUUUGGGAUAACUACAGGACACUGGGGCUAACACCGGAUAGGAGCCCCUGCUGCAGGGGGGGGUUGGGAAUGUUUCGGCGGUUGGGGAUGGACUCGCGGCUUAUCAGCUUGUGGGUGGGGUAGUGGCUUACCAAGGCUUUGACGGGUAGCGGGCCUGAGAGGGUGCCCGGCCACAUUGGGCCUGAGAUACGGCCCGGACUCCUACGGGAGGCAGCAGGGGGGAUUAUUGCACAAUGGGCGGAAGCCUGAUGCAGCAACGCCGCGUGCGGGAUGACGGCCUUCGGUUUUUAAACCGCUUUCGCCUGUGACGAAGCGUGAGUGACGGUAGUGGGUAAAGAAGCACCGGCUAACUACGUG
rnacentral:rRNA from 1 species